UACGGGGGGAGCAAGCGUGGUUCGGAUUUACUGGGCGUAAAGGGCGCGUAGGCGGCGCGACAAGUCACUUGUGAAAUCUCUGGGCUCAACCCAGAACGGUCAAGUGAUACUGUCGUGCUAGAGUGCGGAAGGGGCAACUGGAAUUCUUGGUGUAGCGGUGAAAUGCGUAGAUAUCAAGAGGAACACCUGCGGCGAAGGCGGGUUGCUGGGCCGACACUGACGCUGAGGCGCGAAAGCUAGGGGAGCGAACGGG
rnacentral:rRNA from 1 species